rnacentral:rRNA from 1 species
UACGUAGGGGGCAAGCGUUUGUCCGGAUUUAUUGGGCGUAAAGAGCGUGUAGGCGGCCUGAAAGGUCAGCUGUGAAAACUCGAGGCUCAACCUCGAGACGUCGGUUGAAACCAUCUGGCUAGAGUCCGGAAGAGGAGAGUGGAAUUCCCGGUGUAGCGGUGAAAUGCGCAGAUAUCGGGAAGAACACCCGUGGCGAAGGCGGCUCUCUGGGACGGUACUGACGCUGAGACGCGAAAAGCGUGGGGGAGCGAACAGG